GACGAACGCUGGCGGCGUGCUUAACACAUGCCAGUCGAACGGAAAGGCCCUGCUUUUGUGGGGUGCUCGAGUGGCGAACGGGUGAGUAACGCGUGAGUAACCUGCCCUUGACUUUGGGAUAACUUCAGGAAACUGGGGCUAAUACCGGAUAGGAGCUCCUGCUGCAUGGUGGGGGUUGGAAAGUUUCGGCGGUUGGGGAUGGACUCGCGGCUUAUCAGCUUGUUGGUGGGGUAGUGGCUUACCAAGGCUUUGACGGGUAGCCGGCCUGAGAGGGUGACCGGCCACAUUGGGACUGAGAUACGGCCCAGACUCCUACGGGAGGCAGCAGUGGGGAAUAUUGCACAAUGGGCGGAAGCCUGAUGCAGCAACGCCGCGUGCGGGAUGACGGCCUUCGGGUUGUAAACCGCUUUCGCCUGUGACGAAGCGUGAGUGAUGGCAAUGGGUAAAGAAGCACCGGCUAACUACGUG
rnacentral:rRNA from 1 species